CUAGAUCGCGCACCCGAGCCACUCCCCAAUCCGCCUCCUCUCCUCCUCCCCAAUCAGCCGCCUGCUGGGCGACCUCUCUCCCCACUCCAGCGAUACGAGGCAGUGCAGAGGAGGCGGGCUCGAAUCCGUCCAGAAGAGGUGGAGGAUCUCCGGUUUUCGAGCUCAGCGGCGCGGAGGGUGAGCGGCGGGCGAGAGCGGCGUCCCGGAGGAGGCCGGCAUCGCGGCCGCCGAGGGGAUUGAGGCAGCGGCCCGCCGGCUCAGAGGUCGAGCUCGCGCCGUCUCUCCGUCCCGGUCGCGUAUGCGGGUACAACGGCGGCGGCUGCCUCGGGAGAGGAGGAUGCGGUGGCGAUCCUUGGUGCGGGAGGGGCUCGAGGAGCUCGACCACCACCAGCGCGUCCCCUGCUCCAUGGCGACCGACAGAAGUGGCGCUCGCCCGCAGCACGGCAAUGGAAGAGGAUUGGGGACGAGGUGAGCGCAGGGACGACCUCCUCAUCCAGCCUGGUCCCGGCCUUGAGCACGGCAGCGACCACCCCGUCCUUCCCCGUCUCCUCCUCGAUCUGCCUGCUCCACCUACAGACCAUUCUUAUUAGAUGUGAUGGAACAAGUGAUGGACCUGAAAAAGAGAUGAUCAACUAGCCAGCAGCUAUGAUUGAGAAGAAGUGGUGGCGUGUGAACAAAGAUGGCUGUGACUGUGAGCACAGCUUGCUUCCAUUGGACCAAGGUGGUGGUGAAGGAAAGGCUUUGUACAUUGACGCACAUGGGACAUUCAGACCACAGAGGCUCCUCCAGAUAGCUAACAGAGGUACCCGAGAGCUCGCCGGCGUAGUUGAGCGGCGAGCAGACGGGGCUGGCCGGCGGUGAGGAGGUGGCCGCCGGGCAACGGCGCUGCGGCGACGCCACGUCAAGAAUCGCGGCAGGAGUGGCGGGAUCUCGAGCAGGAGUGGCGGGAUCCAGGGUAGGACAGGCGUGAUCUUGUCGUACUGGUCCUCCUCUUCGUUGCUGCUGCGCUGCUCCCUCCUCCUCGUGUCUGCCUCGUCUUCUCCCAGGGAGAUGACGGACUGAGAGGUGGAUAGAGAUAACAAUGCAGUUUUUUAGAUUAACACCAUGUAUUGUUCUCUACAGAAUAAAAGCAUAAGAAGCUGCUACCUCUUCUUGACUAUUCAACAUAUGGUUGUCAACUGGAUGAAUCUCGUAUGGUGUAAGGGAUCUCACGCCAUGACUGAAUUCAUAUCUGUUUUGUAGCUUUUGUGUUGUUGCUUUCUGUUCGUGAAUUUUGGUGUAUUUUGCAAUUCUUCUUGUGAUCUGCCAAGAGGGAGAAAAUUACAGUGUUACAAAUAUAUGUUUACCGCUCAGCACCUUGAAUAGUAGAUGUGUUUCAGACAUAAUCUUUGUUAUCUUAUUAGGUUCCAGUGCCUGGAUGUUAUAUUUACUAUAGUUGGAUGCUGGUAAUUUGAUGAGCUUACCUUUGUUUCAGUUAUCUUAUUAAGGUUUCUCUGUAUUAUCCAAGAGCAGAAGUCAUUUGAUGAAAAGUUUGUUAGGAUAAACAUGGAAAAACUCUGUGAACUGACAUCUUCAGCUGACAGUAUUCAAUUAAUGCCAAUUUUAUCAGUUGAGUGCUUGCUCGAUUCAUUGGUGAAUUGCCGCGGAGGAAAUCUUGGAUAUUUUCAUUUACUAGACAACUUAACGGAGAUAAAGCAGAGAGCAGUCCAGGAGUGGCACCAAGCUACAGACGGGAGAGGAUCAUAAUAAGAACUACAUUGUUGAAUUCCAAGACACGAGCCCAAGUUCACUUGCAAGGAAAUACCCAGGUCUUAAAUGAGGUCUCUACAAACCUUCCACAACCAUGUGUAUGGCAUUCUACAACAGAAUCUGUCAAAGCCCUUGAAUUAUUUGUUACUAUAGGGAGUGACUCCUCAAAAAGUCUCACAUAUAGCAUCAUGGGAAGAAGCACCACUAGGGAAGUAGCAGGGAUCUGAGAGCUGCUAUCAUGGUGAUCACUGUGUUGUUUUAUUUCUGUGUUUUUUGGUAAUUGGGAUUUAUGAGCUCUCAUGGACUGCUGGUACUGGGAUUUACAGUCUCGCUAGGCAUGUGAUGAAUCCACUUAUAAGGUUGUUAACUCCGGCUCUCCUUGGAUGUGACGUGCGCUGUAGCUACGUGCUGGUCUUCGACGGCAAGAUCGCCAACUUGAAACAGUCCCCCAACACCGCCGCGCCCCUCCACCCCCUCCACUCCAGCAGCUUUGGGGCAUUCCUCCUUUGCUCCAGCGGCGGUGAAAGGGGAGCUCCAGCAGCGGCGGACACCGGGUUACAGCAGCGGCGGCGAGAGGCGGCUCCAGCAUCUUCGUCCUCCUCGAGCUCCGGCGGCGGAGAGAGGGGGGCUCCAGCAGCGUCGGACAACGGCUUCCAGCAGCAGCGGCGAGAGGCGGCUCCAGAAGUGGCCGCGGAGCGCGGGAGUCCGCUAGCCCUGCGGCGCGAGAGGUCGCCGGCACGGAGGGCGGGAGGCCGCCCGUCCACCGACGCGAGGCUGCGAGCUCCACGGGGAGGCCCGCCGGUGCCAGGCCGCGAGCUCCACGGGGAGGCCCGCCGGCGCCAGGCUGCGAGGGGCAAGGGAGUCCACCGGCGUCAGGAUGCGAGGGGCGCGGGAAUACGCCGGCGGGAGGGUGUGAGGGCCGCGCGAGUCCGCCGGCGGGAGGCUGCGAGCUCGGGAGGCCGCCUACGCCCGCCAAGAUGCAAGAAUCGAUUGGGGAAGAUUCGAUCGGGGGUACCGGUUGGUGACGUUUACGGAAUAAAAAGGGCCGAAAUGUAAAAAAGGUUUUAUACUAACCUCCGACACCUAAUUCGGGACGGAGGGAGUACUACAGUUGGUACACAUGAAAGCAAGCAGGGAAUUAUGAUGCUUAGUUACUGCCCAAAGUCCCGAAGUGAAUACCUCUUACUUGCUGUCCAGAAUACCGAAGUGAAUAUCUCUAUUUACUUUCUUCAUCAUGAAUGGUGUUGCUGUCCAGAAUACCGAAGACUGUGGCUAGGGAAUUGGUGGUCUGGUGCAUUGUUUAUUCCUGCAUUGUUUAUUUAUCUGAGAGGGAAGCUGGAACCUAUGUAGUAGAAGUAUUUUAGCAUUUACGCCAUGGUGAAGGAAUGUCAUAUUGCCUUGUGACACCACUCCCUGCAGUGACCAUAAUAUGUCCUCUGUACUGUUAGUGGAAGAACCUGCAAUCCUGUAAGCCUGAAGUAUGAAAUUAAUCUUUCUAUGUA